UGCCUGUCUCAGCUCCCCGAGUACUAGGAGGCUGGAGGUAGGGACGGGAAGUUCGAACGGACGUGGAAGAGCCCGCAGGUUGGGCCCAUGCACAGCAGCAGCUGCUCAGGGUCAGAGUUUCCUCGGGUUCUGUAUAAAAGCUUUGGUUGACUGAUUAGUGAAAUAAUCAUAUGCUGAAGAGAACAGGAAGUACUUGUGUUUAGAAAAAAAAGUAAUUGCAGCAAAUGCUAAAUAUCUCAAAGUAGGCUUAGUAUCUCUAAGAUAAUUGAGGCCUUUGAGAAAUACAAAAGAAGAACCGAAGAGCAAAGAAACAAGCUGAAGUAAGGAGAGCGCCCCACUCCCCAGUCCAAGAUUUCUGCUGCCCUACAGGAGACAUGUUCUUGGGAAAGCAGCAUCUCUCUCAAUUCGUCGUUAAAGAUGAAAUAGGCAAUUUCUGCCCAGUGACUUCCUUGCUACGAUAAACAACCUCGCCUGGAGGUGAAGAUGCUCAGUUUCUUCUUUGAACCAAGAAGGCGGUGCUGUCAGGAGCAGACAUGUCUCAUUGUCAAAUGAUGAAAUAACAUUAAAUGUAACAUUUUGUGGAUUUCUGAUGCUUUUGAAGACUCUAUAUAUGAGAUAAUACACUUCUUGUUUCAUCUCCCAAAGCUGAUGUAUCCACACCACUCUCCAGUGCACUGUUUGGCAUCCCUCUGCCUCUGCAUGAGUUACAGAUGGGAAAACAGAAAUUAGAGUUACCUGCAAAACUAACAAGACAGUGAAUGGAAAUGGCCUGAAUAUGAAUCUUCAUUCUUCGUUUUACCAGCAAAAUGGCCAGGGACUAAAUAACCUUUCUGAGCCUCAGUUUCCCCAUAAUGAAAGUCAUCAUAGUAUCUGUUUUGUGUCUAACAAAACCCAUAAUUUAAAGCAGUAAUGUUUAACAUGUACUCUUAAGCAAAAGUAAUUCUUUGCUGUCAUGAACAUCUUAACAUUUUCUAGGAUCCAGUGUUUUAAAAAUGUGUUUUUCUUUGUUUAGGGAAUUCUAACUAUACAUAGCACGAUGGAUAAUUUUCAACUUGAUAGAACCUAGCAUGGUGGGGAUGGGAGGAGGCUUCUGGGCGAGAAUUGUGUUGACUUUAUUGAGGUGGGAAGCCCUUCUUACUGUGGGUAGUUCCUUCCCUGGCAUGGCUUCUGGAUUGUGUAAGUGGAGAAAGUGAGCUGGGCACAGGCAAACUUGGCUCCAUCUUCCCUGACUGUGGAGCAGUUGCUUCAGUCAAGCUUCUGCUGACUUGCCUUCCCACCUUAGUGGACUGCACUUGGAGCUGAGAGCAAAACUAAAUGCUUUCAUCUGUGAGGCGCUUUUGUCCGUGUGUAUUAUCAUAGUGGCGAGAAGAAAAAGACACAGUACGAGCUGCUUCCUCAAGGAGAGUCCUAAAACUGUUUCCAGAUCUUUGGCGUUGGCUUUACCUGCAGGCAGUGAUUUGAAUGUUAUUAGCUUAAGGGAGGGAGACUGCUAAACUCCAGUUUGUGUUAAAGGCCCCUGAUAGGGUGGAUUCCUAAUGCAGCAGUGGCUGGCCGGACAAGGGGAGUAACCUCCACCGUGUUUAGUACUGGCAGAUGAGUCAUGAGAGCUGUCUUAGGGUUCCAUUGCUGGGGAGAGACACCAUGACCAAGGCAGUGCCUAUAAAGGCAAACAUUUGAUUGGGGCUGGCUUACAGUUUCAGAGGGUGAGCCUAUUAUCAUUAUAUUGAUAAGCAGGGCAGCAUGCAGGCAUACAUGGUGCUGGAAGAGCCAAGAGUUCUACAUUUUGAUCUGAAGGCAGCCAGGAGGAGGCUCUGAUUGACACACUUCCUACUCCAACAAGGCCAUACCUCCUAACAGUGCCACUCCCUAUGGCCAAACAUUCAAACACAGGAAUCUAUGGGGCCAUAUCUCUUCAACCACCACAGACACUCUCACUGGCUAGGUCUAGGAGACCUUUAAGCACUAAAGUGACCAAGCUUGUUGCCUCACUGUUCUCUAACUUCCCAGUGAUUCUCUGGGUUUCCCUGUCUUUGAAUAAACUUCUUUUCUGUGAAUGAGAGUGUUCUGGAAUUUUGGAGAAAUUCUAGCCUUUCAAUCUGGCCUCUAAAAUAGCUCCCUUUUGGGAUCCUGAGCAGUAGUCACUGAAGGAACUUGAGUGUCUUUAUCAGAGGGCAGAAGGUGAGGAUUCUGUUCAACCCUGGGCUUCUAAACUGACACGUGAAGAACUAGACCUAGGGCUCUGCUGUUACAGACCAGCCUAGACCAGCCUAGACCAGCUUAGACCAGCCUAGACCAGGACCAGAUGCCAGCUGAAUAUUACACUGCCUUAGUUAAAGCCACAGAGUGGAUGAGAUUCACCUAGCCCAUCUCUGCUUGUUAUUCUGAUCAACCAUAAUUAAAUAAUUGUUUGAAGCUAGUGGGUUUGAGGGAAACUUGUUAUGCAGGAUUAAAUGUAAACAGUACACCUGGAUGGUGGUGGCACAUGCCUUUAAUCCCAACACUCUGGAGGCAGAGGCAUGUUGGAUCUCUGAGUUUGAGGCCAGAGUGAAUUCCAGGACAGCCAGGGCUACUGUCUCAAAAAAACAAAGCAACAACAACAAAACUAACAAGAAAAAUCACAGAAAUGUUCAGAUCAUAAUUUGAUGCAUAUUUUGUUAGCGUUAAUAAUCAGGAGUUCUUUUCUCACAUAUGUUUGUUUAAAGUUUAAACUUGGUAUAUUCCUGAAGCCAGUCUUUCAUCCUGGCAUCGGAGUGAGCGAAAAGCCUUAAGUCAUCUCCAGUGUCUCUAUAAUUGAAUUCCCUUCAACGAAGUCCUCCUGUGGGCAUUCUGCCGUAAAAGAAAAGUCUCCAACUACAAAGUGUUCUUUAGGUUCUGGAUUCUGUGUCCUCCCCUCAGAAAUUCUACUUUGCUCUUGAGCUCGGCAGAUGGUUUUUUGUUUUUUGUUUUUGUUUUUGUUUUUGUUUUUCUGCAUAGAUUCUAAGGGGAUAAUUAGGUAAGAGACAAAUUCAGAAACCCUCUGAAUUUUCUCUCCUGCAUCUGACAUUCAGUUCUCCUAUUCUGUGAUCUGUUCUUCUUGUAACCUUUGCUGCUUUUCUUUCUAGCUCUUUCCCUGGCUUGCCUCGCAUAUUUAGCUUGCCUAGAACUUGUCUUACUUGUGUGGUUUUGAACUUUACUAAAUAAACUACCAUGAUUCCAUGUAUAUUCUACAGUGUAGUACAAGUUACUGACAGCAUUCUGUAAAUAGAAUAUCUCCAUAAAAGUCUAUCUCACCCAAGUUAUGUACCUGUUAUUGAUCUAUUCUUUCAUUCUUCCUGCAGAUCUUUCCUUGUUUGGUUAAAUAAUCCAAUGGAACAAUGAGGGAAGACUAUCACAGAAGUAUGGAAUUAUAGGGAAGCUGGGAGACUGAAGGAGCUGCAGCUUGGUUCUGAGACAGGAGGAUGAAACACUGGGAAGCAGAACAAGGCAAGGAAUGAACGAAGCAGGAGAUCCUGAACUACAUAAACUCCAUAAGAAAGCUCAGCCCAUAACCCCAGCCCUGCAGCUGUGACUUUCCUCCAGGAGUCAUAAGCCAGAGCAGCAGUGGCCAGCAGGUAGACUCAGCAAUAGAAGCAAAGACUCAAGAAGUAUGAAAUAUCCUCCCAAAGAAUGCUACAAUGGAAAAA
rnacentral:lncRNA from 1 species